CAAACUGGAGAUGGCGACCGGCGCACGGGUGAGUAACACGUAUCCAACCUGCCGAUAACUCGGGGAUAGCCUUUCGAAAGAAAGAUUAAUACCCGAUGGCAUAAUAGAACCGCGUGGUUUGAUUAUUAAAGAAUUUCGGUUAUCGAUGGGGAUGCGUUCCAUUAGGCAGUUGGUGGGGUAACGGCCCACCAAACCUUCGAUGGAUAGGGGUUCUGAGAGGAAGGUCCCCCACAUUGGAACUGAGACACGGUCCAA
rnacentral:rRNA from 1 species